rnacentral:rRNA from 1 species
AGUGAACGCUGGCGGUAGGCCUAACACAUGCAAGUCGAACGGCAGCACAGUAAGAGCUUGCUCUUACGGGUGGCGAGUGGCGGACGGGUGAGGAAUACAUCGGAAUCUACUUUUUCGUGGGGGAUAACGUAGGGAAACUUACGCUAAUACCGCAUACGACCUACGGGUGAAAGCAGGGGAUCUUCGGACCUUGCGCGAUUGAAUGAGCCGAUGUCGGAUUAGCUAGUUGGCGGGGUAAAGGCCCACCAAGGCGACGAUCCGUAGCUGGUCUGAGAGGAUGAUCACCCACACUGGAACUGAGACACGGUCCAGACUCCUACGGGAGGCAGCAGUGGGGAAUAUUGGACAAUGGGCGCAAGCCUGAUCCAGCCAUACCGCGUGGGUGAAGAAGGCCUUCGGGUUGUAAAGCCCUUUUGUUGGGAAGGAAAAGCAGCAGGUUAAUACCCCGCUGUUCUGACGGUACCCAAAGAAUAAGCACCGGCUAACUUCGUG